GACGAACGCUGGCGGCGUGCCUAAUACAUGCAAGUAGAACGCUGAAGAGAGGAGCUUGCUCUUCUUGGAUGAGUUGCGAACGGGUGAGUAACGCGUAGGUAACCUGCCUUGUAGCGGGGGAUAACUAUUGGAAACGAUAGCUAAUACCGCAUAACAAUGGAUGACACAUGUCAUUUAUUUGAAAGGGGCAAUUGCUCCACUACAAGAUGGACCUGCGUUGUAUUAGCUAGUAGGUGAGGUAAUGGCUCACCUAGGCGACGAUACAUAGCCGACCUGAGAGGGUGAUCGGCAACACUGGGACUGAGACACGGCCCAGACUCCUACGGGAGGCAGCAGUAGGGAAUCUUCGGCAAUGGGGGCAACCCUGACCGAGCAACGCCGCGUGAGUGAAGAAGGUUUUCGGAUCGUAAAGCUCUGUUGUAAGUCAAGAACGGGUGUGAGAGUGGAAAGUUCACACUGUGACGGUAGCUUACCAGAAAGGGACGGCUAACUACGUG
rnacentral:rRNA from 1 species